GACGAACGCUGGCGGCGUGCCUAAUACAUGCAAGUUGAGCGCUGAAGGUUGGUACUUGUACCUACUGGAUGAGCAGCGAACGGGUGAGUAACGCGUGGGGAAUCUGCCUUUGAGCGGGGGACAACAUUUGGAAACGAAUGCUAAUACCGCAUAAAAACUUUAAACACAAGUUUUAAGUUUGAAAGAUGCAAUUGCAUCACUCAAAGAUGAUCCCGCGUUGUAUUAGCUAGUUGGUGAGGUAAAGGCUCACCAAGGCGAUGAUACAUAGCCGACCUGAGAGGGGGAUCGGCCAAAUUGGGACUAGAGCACGGCCCAAACUCCUACGGGAGGGAGCAGUAGGGAAUCUUCGGCAAUGGACGGAAGUCUGACCGGGCAACGCCGCGUGAGGGAAGAAGGGUUUCGGAUCGUAAAACUCUGUUGGUAGGGAAGAACGUUGGUGAGAGUGGAAAGCUCAUCAAGUGACGGUAACUACUCAGAAAGGGACGGCUAACUACGUG
rnacentral:rRNA from 1 species